rnacentral:rRNA from 1 species
UAGGGAAUCUUCGGCAAUGGGGGGAACCCUGACCGAGCAACGCCGCGUGAGUGAAGAAGGUUUUCGGAUCGUAAAGCUCUGUUGUUAAGGAAGAACGAGUGUGAGAAUGGAAAGUUCAUGCUGUGACGGUACUUAACCAGAAAGGGACGGCUAACUACGUGCCAGCAGCCGCGGUAAUACGUAGGUCCCGAGCGUUGUCCGGAUUUAUUGGGCGUAAAGCGAGCGCAGGCGGUUAGAAAAGUCUGAAGUGAAAGGCAGUGGCUCAACCAUUGUAGGCUUUGGAAACUGGUUAACUUGAGUGCAGAAGAGGAGGGUGGAAUUCCAUGUGAAGCGGUGAAAUGCGUAGAUAUAUGGAGGAACACCAGUGGCGAAGGCGACUCUCUGGUCUGUAACUGACGCUGAGGCUCGAAAGCGUGGGUAGCAAACAGG